ACUUAUGAAAUAUAAAUGAUAACAAACCCACGUCUCAUACAUUGCUGUAAAAUUAGUUGUAAAAUUAUUGUUUUUUUAAUAAAUAUAUCCAUUUUUGAUAAACAAUGUGCAUUUGAUUUGUGGUAAAAAGAAUAAACAAUGGAUUUAUUAACACAUUCACUUGCUGAAAUCACAGUGCAUCAUGAUGGUGAAGUACUUUGAGUGCCUUUGGACAAAAAUAGCACUGUAAGCAUGAUUUCUUUGAAGUCUUUUGUUCCUGAUACGAUUGGGAUGACAUACAACAAACCUGAUGGGACCUCAGCCCUAGUACCACUUGGAAAUGAUAAAUUUUAUAUACCACAAGGAGUUAAAACAUGUUUCAUUCGUGUCAACAAAAAUGACAAUUUUCAUAAUGGAAUCAGGAAUUUUAAAGGGAUUCAAUUAAAAACAAUGCUUGAAGAUUUACAACCAUCAAAAAAACGAAAAGUUUCUGAAACAACACAAUCAGUAUUACCAAACCAGAUAAUUGUUUUGUUCUUCGGUUCAAAUUCUUUAAAUAAUCAACUUUUUUUUUUUGCAUAUUCAAAACAAUGUGACAAUGAAUCAAGAGACUGUUAAGGCUAAUAUAAAUGAAAAACACAUUAAGUCACGCUGGUACCAUUGUAGUUAUGACAGUGAAAAUUAUUUACAAAAAAGUGAUUCAACAAAUAUAAAGACAAAAACUUUAGAUAUUUAUGAAAAUCAACUCUACGAUAAACAACAAAUCUCUGGAAAAAUUAAAAAUUUGUUUUAUGACGAUUUCACUAAGCCUAUUCUUGAUGAUUCUACAAUCGAAUUAGCAAAUUUAAAAUUUCAAACAAUUCCAAGUUUUGAAAAUAUAUUCAAAUAUUUAAAAUCAAUAGGAACGUCACCAUCUAGAAUGGUUUUGAUUUUAUUAACUAUUUGUAUUAAGUAUUCGUUGUAGUUCAUAGAGGAUCAGUGGUCCAAAACAGUAUGUUAUGCAUUCAAUAUGAAUUGGAUUUGAAUUAUCAAAAACAAAAGAAUCACGCAUGUCUUUAAAAAGUGAAAUGUAAUGGUUAAUCCCAGCUCGACGCAACUAAGACCAAAAGCUUUCGAUACGCUGAUUUGCAGUACUUUUUCCUUGUAUGAAACUAUUUAAUCCAGCUAAUUGAUCAUCAUGAUAAAAUCGUAAGCAACAUACUGUUAUUUUUGUUGACACGAAUGAAACAUGUUUUAACUCCUUGUGGUAUAUAAAAUUUAUCAUUUCCAAGUGGUACAAGGGCUGAGGUCCCAUCAGGUUUGUUGUAUGUCAUCCCAAUCGUAUCA